UUAGCCCCUCCAAAUUUUGGUAGGUGAACAAUAAGAAAUACCAUCACAUGGCUUUAUUUCAAGUUGUUAGUAGGUUAUUGUUAGCUUAAAACUUCAUUUACUUAAAUGGGCAUAAUGUAGCAAUAACAAAUGGCAGGAAUUAGGCAUGCAGUAGCUGUCGAGAGCACAUAUGACAGUACAUAUUUACAUGUUUUAUGUUCAGCCCCCUUCAGCCCCCCCCAACUUUCGAAUCAUUCCUACACCUAUGGUUGGACACCAUUUUGAUUCAGCCAACUGCGCAUGCUCAGUAUUAUUUUAAUGGAGAGAAAUUGGAAACCUUCGCCUAAGAACCUUUUACAAUAACUGAUGGUGCUUACUGACUGAUCUGUGAUCAUAUUGAGAUGAUGUGCAUGCCUAAACACCCGGCUAUCUACUGAUGUGACACCAAUCACUUCCAGUCAGAGAAAUUAUUCAGGUAUUGCUACAGUGAAAUAAAAUGGUGGAUAUUAACCUGGAAAGAGUCAUGAGUUUAUUUCCAGCAAAUGGUUACUAAAAUAAGAUUCUACUCCUGUCCAGCAGCAAGUAAUGGAUACAGCUUAAAGCCUGUGACUGUUGCUACAACUAUACUACAGUUCCUCCCUCCCCCAUGUGUCUCCCUUUCUCUCUGUCCCUCUUUAUCUCACACUGGAGCUCCAUCAGUAUGUGUCUCCUGUAUUGAAUACAAUAUUUCAAAACUCUUGUCAAAAUAUAUUUUUCAGUGCCAACUAUAAUAAUUUUUGUUUUUGUAGCAAU